GUCUUCUUGAUAAAAUAGGAAGUCUGACCUGCCCAGUGAAAAUAUUUUAACGGCCGCGGUAUAUUGACCGUGCAAAGGUAGCAUAAUCAUUAGUCUUUUAAUAGGGGGCUGGAAUGAAGGGUUUAACGAAGUACUUACUGUCUCAUUUAAUUUGAUAUUAAAAUUUACUUUUUCAGUCAAAAAGCUGAAAUAUUAUUGGAAGACGAGAAGACCCUAUAGAGCUUUAUAUUUAAUUAUUUAAUAAAUUUUUGAUAAAAUUAUUAUUUAUUAUUUAAUAAAAUAUUUUGUUGGGGUGACAAAAAUAUAUAAUUAACUUUUUUAUUUAUAUAACAUUGAUAUAUGAAAAAUAGAUCCAGUUUUACUGAUUAUUAGAAUAAGUUACCUUAGGGAUAACAGCGUAAUCUUCCUUUAGAGUUCAUAUUCACAGGGAGGCUUGCGACCUCGAUGUUGGAUUAAGAUUAUAAUUAGGUGUAGCCGCUUAAAAAAUAGGUCUGUUCGACCUUUAAAUUCUU
rnacentral:rRNA from 1 species